rnacentral:lncRNA from 1 species
UGGUAGUGUUUUGAGAUAGUUUGAGACUCUUCGUGACUUUAAAAUUCAUUAGUUUGACCUUAUUCAAUAUUUCAUAUUUUGAGUGAUAGAAGGUAUUUUCUACUAUUCCAUUAGAUUUGAAAUAUAGAUUUUAUGUUUUUAGCAGGGUCGGUUUGAGUUCAAAAUUUUUAUUUAACAUUUUGACCCUUGAUUUGAAAACUACUUACAUUAAACUUUUAGGGGUUUUGAGAGA